UACGAAGGGUGCAAACGUUGCUCGGAAUUAUUGGGCGUAAAGCGCACGUAGGCGGCUUUGCAAGUCGGAUGUGAAAUCCCUCGGCUUAACCAAGGAAGUGCAUCCGAAACUGCAGAGCUUGAGUACUUAAGAGGAUCGCGGAAUUCCCGGUGUAGAGGUGAAAUUCGUAGAUAUCGUAAGGAAGACCAGUGGCGAAGGCGGGUCUCUGGACAGUUCCUGACGCUGAGGCACGAAGGCCAGGGGAGCAAACGGG
rnacentral:rRNA from 1 species